rnacentral:rRNA from 1 species
AAGGGCACCACAAGAACGCGUGGAGCAUGUGGCUUAAUUUGACUCAACGCGGGGAAACUUACCGGGUCCGGACACACUGAGGAUUGACAGGCGCCUAAAUUGUGCGAGUCCUUUCAUGAUUGUGUGAUAGGUGGUGCAUGGCCGUUCUUAGUUCGUGGAGUGAUCUGUCUGCUUAAUUGCGCUUCAGAUUACUUGGACAUUCCUUUCAAGGCCAGGCUCUUGGGCUUCUCUUCAUUGAGUCGCCUUUGAGGGUCGCGGUCUGAGGGUGUCCUACGAAAGCAACGAACGUGACCGAGUCCCCUUGUUACCUCUCUAACUUUGGAUGUGUUCACUUCUGUGGAUGCUGACAUCAUCUGAGAGGCUAUCUAGGGGGACUGCCUGGGUUUUUAACCCGGAGGAAGGACUCGGCAAUAACAGGUCUGUGAUGCCCUUAGAUGUUCCGGGCUGCACACGUGCUACAAUGAUUGUCGCAGCGUGCAUCUUGGAUUUGAUUGAGCUGCUUUUGAAGCGACUCACGUCGUGGAAAGAGCUGGCUCCGCAGUGGAAGCUAGGGAACCGACCACUUGUUGGGAGGAUCCUCUGCUGAAGCCGUGUGCCCUGCCUCGUCAGUGCGGCAGGCAGUCACUUCUAAAUGGCAAUUUCCCCGCGCACAAGUCGAUUGAGUUGAGCUAACCAACCUUCGGGAAGGGGUGCUCUUCUCAUGUGCUCUAUAUGAUCUCGUGGUCGGGACUGAGGAUUGCUAAUUGUUCCUCACGGUCUCAACUAGGAAUGCCUCGUACGGGCCUCUGGUUCAACAGACCGCCCGGAAUACGUCCCUGCCCUUUGUACACACCGCCCGUCGCUCUUACCGAUGGACUCUGCUGUGAGCUUGUGGGACUCAUCCCCUUCUGCUCUUAUGACGAGGACUUGUUCUUCCGAUGAGGGUGGAGCUUAUAGGGGAUUCGGAAACGCAAGCGAACAGUAGGGUCUAAAGGAAAGAGAAGUCG